rnacentral:rRNA from 1 species
AACGAACGCUGGCGGCAGGCCUAACACAUGCAAGUCGAACGCCCCGCAAGGGGAGUGGCAGACGGGAGAGUAACGCGUGGGAACCUUCCCAAAGGUGCGGAAUAGCUCAGGGAAACUUGGGGUAAUACCGCAUAAUGCCGAGAGGCCAAAGAUUUAUCGCCUUUGGAUGGGCCCGCGUCGGAUUAGCUAGUUGGUGAGGUAACGGCUCACCAAGGCGACGAUCCGUAGCUGGUUUGAGAGAAUGACCAGCCACACUGGGACUGAGACACGGCCCAGACUCCUACGGGAGGCAGCAGUGGGGAAUCUUGGACAAUGGGCGCAAGCCUGAUCCAGCCAUGCCGCGUGAGUGACGAAGGCCUUAGGGUUGUAAAGCUCUUUUGCCGGGGACGAUAAUGACGGUACCCGGAGAAUAAGUCCCGGCUAACUUCGUGCCAGCCGCCGCAGUAA